rnacentral:rRNA from 1 species
GACAGAGGUUGCAAACGUUGUUCGGAAUCACUGGGCAUAAAGCGCACGUAGGCGGUCUGUUAAGUCAGGUGUGAAAGCCCCCGGCUCAACCGGGGAAUUGCAUUUGAUACUGGCAGGCUCGAGAACGGUAGGGGUGAGUGGAACUCCAGGUGGAGCGGUGAAAUGCGUAGAUAUCUGGAGGAGCACCGGUGGCGAAAGCGGCUCACUGGACCGUCACUGACGCUGAGGUGCGAAAGCUAGGGUAGCAAACGGG